GACCCCAAGUCGGAGCCAUAAAAGUUUCUGUCGGAGUCUUUCGUUGUGCUCAGGGGUUUAAACCCUGCAGUUUCGCCCCUGAUUGAAAAACACCUCCUUGGCUUCCACCCCUGGGCCAGGGCGAGGGUCGGCUCUGCCCGCGGCCACACCGUGAGGGGGCUCCUGAGGGAAGGAGGUCGUUGCUUUAUCCCCAGGGACGCCUCGAGUGUUAUUUCUGUGUGAGAGGCCUCUGCCUGUGGUGGGGCAGGGUGGUGUCUGUCACCCACCCGGGCACAACCCCGCUGGGACAGAGCACCUUCUCAUAGAGCCCUGCUGCACUCUGAGAGCUCCUGCACCAUCCUGCUCAAACUGCACAGCAAUUCCAGGCAGCAGCUGGGAACAGAAUGGAGCUUUGUCUGCAAGAUCCAGGCAGUGCCAGUCGGCUCGAUCUGCCUGCAAAAUCCUUCAUUUGGCAGCGCCCAAGAAAAUGGAAAGGACACUAAUAACAGCCAGGGUUGCUCACCAGCAGGAAAGGAGCAGAGGUUCAGCAACAGCUUUGUGUUUUGAGGAAGAGUGUCUAUGUCUGCCUGACACAUGGAGCAGUCACAAGAGGAGAAUGCUCUGGGGAGCUCUUUGGCCUCUGCUGCUUUGUGUCUGUAUUCACGCUCACCACAGCUGUAGUGAUAAUAAUAAUCUCAAACACUUGGGUCAUUUAGAUGGAAAAAUAAAAGCCACAGAAGUCUUUUGGUUACUUCUCGGUGCUCAGUGGCUGACACUAUGUGCAUUGGGAGUGCAUAAACAUUAAAAUCUGGAGAAGCUUUCCAGGUUUAGGCCUUUCCUCAGCAGGAGCUGAAUAAUAAUGUUAAGCUUGUUCUUUUAGUUACAAGGGCACAUUCCAGACGUACAGCUGCCAGGGAGAUCCAGGGAGUAAUUUACAACAAGGAAUAUUCACACUUAGCAGCGCUGCAGCCAAACAUUGGCUCAAAAUAACAACUGGAAGUACGAUGAGUAAAUAAAUAGCAUGAGGAGAUUUUCAGCCACUGUGGCAGGAAAUGUCACUUUGCAUUUGUCAGCGGUCAGCUCCUGCUGCUGUUGGUAGCCAGGCAGUGAGACAGAACAGCUGCCACCGAGCUGGGUAGAGCAAAGCUGUCUCAGGCUCUGCGUGGGCCUUGUUCUCUCUGGACCAAACCUCUCAGCCCUCCCAGCCGCACUGAAUUUCCUCAGCCAACCCACGCAGAUCAAAGCAGGGCGUUUUUCCCCAAAAGCUCUUCCCAGGCUGCUCAUGCUGCCAAGGGGCUGAGCAGGACAGCAGAGGGGAGUGGGCACUGCAGA